rnacentral:rRNA from 1 species
CGCCUGGUAGCGGGGGAUAACUAUUGAAACGAUAGCUAAUACCGCAUAACAGUAGAUGUUGCAUGAUAUCUGCUUGAAAGGUGCAAAUGCACCACUACCAGAUGGACCUGCGUUGUAUUAGCUAGUUGGUGAGAUAACAGCCCACCAAGGCGACGAUCAGUAGCCGACCUGAGAGGGUGAUCGGCCACAUUGGGACUGAGACACGGCCCAA